rnacentral:rRNA from 1 species
AUUGAACGCUGGCGGCAGGCUUAACACAUGCAAGUCGAGCGGGGUGAUGGUGCUUGCACUAUCACUUAGCGGCGGACGGGUGAGUAAUGCUUAGGAAUCUGCCUAUUAGUGGGGGACAACAUCUCGAAAGGGAUGCUAAUACCGCAUACGUCCUACGGGAGAAAGCAGGGGAUCACUUGUGACCUUGUGCUAAUAGAUGAGCCUAAGUCGGAUUAGCUAGUUGGUGGGGUAAAGGCCUACAAAGGCGACGAUCUGUAGCGGGUCUGAGAGGAUGAUCCGCCACACUGGGACUGAGACACGGCCCAGACUCCUACGGGAGGCAGCAGUGGGGAAUAUUGGACAAUGGGGGGAACCCUGAUCCAGCCAUGCCGCGUGUGUGAAGAAGGCCUUAUGGUUGUAAAGCACUUUAAGCGAGGAGGAGGCUUACCUAGUUAAUACCUGGGAUAAGUGGACGUUACUCGCAGAAUAAGCACCGGCUAACUCUGUGCCAGCAGCCGCCGUAAAAC